rnacentral:lncRNA from 1 species
AUGGUAACCCAGCAGUGCAGCCCCACAGACCCAGCUCAAGGGAACAGAAGCUCGGGGGACAGAAGGGGACUCGUGGGCAGGAGGAAGAGAGGGAGGACUCAGAGGACACUCACAUACUGGCUUGGGGUCUGGAACAGGCGGCAGGAGCAGAGGAACUGGCAGCACAUUGGAUCCCGGUGGUACAAGAGCAGCAGCAGAAUGAGGAUCGCUACGAUGAAGACGGAGGUGGACACCGCUGCGGAGAGACGGGAGAGGCGAGAGAGCCGGUGUUUCGAUGGGACCGCGGGCCUUCUCCUCCCGCCCGCUCUCGCCCCGCGGCUGCCGCUCGGAGAAGCCCCUGAGAAGCCAAUUCCACCCGCUGCCCGUCCCAAGAGCGGCAAAGCCCCUUUGUGCCCAACACCUCUCCCUACGAGACCGGGAACAACCUGCAGAGCCAGGAGGGGCUCACCCCAUUCCGGACCGCGGCGGCAGGGACAGAACCGCGGGGACCGGCACCGGCACCGACCGUCUCUCGCCCGGGCCUCUCGGCUCCCCCAGCACCACGGCAGGGCGCCGGUUCGCCGGUGUUCCGGUCUCCCGGGAGCCCGCGGCUCCCCGCCGGCCCAGCCGCGGAUCCGCGGAGCCCACCGGCACCGCCGGCCCGCUCCGCUCCGGCCCCAAUCCCGCGAGCCAGCGGGACCCCCGGACUGGGACCGGCUGCUGCAGCGACCGCUACCCCGCCCGCCCCCAGGUAUCGCCUUAUCGGCACAGCCCGGGAGGCACCGGCAGAGGCCGAUCCCGCCCGGCGGCCGCCCCCGCUCCGCUCCCGGCACCGCCGGAGCCCCCGCACGCCACUCACUGGCGGCGAUGACGAUGGCCAGGACGUUGUUGUCCAUGCUGGCGCUGGCCGUCGCUGUGUGGCCCGAGGCCUCCGCGGGCUGCGCCAUCCCGACCCCUCCACCGCCAGCCCCUGCCCGCCGCCCGCGCCCCACAGCCCGCGAGGGGCGGGCCGGGCCCGGGGCG